CGGCAACCGUCCAGCGGCCUCGACCACCGCCUCUAGCCUCCGUUCCCGGUCCUUUCUCCCGGGCCGAGAGACAGCGUCGCCGACAGGGGCUCAUUCCCCUCCGGUUCUCCUCGGUGACUCACCUCGGGCGGGCCGUUUUGUCUUUAGGGGCCGCCUUGGUGGGGCGAGGUUUCCGUGACGAAUCUCCUGGGGCCGUCCGUGCCGGCUCGGGCCGUCGUGGCGGCUCGAGCUCCUGGAACUAGCUCAGGCUCCGGAGGUCCGAGGCCCUCGAAGUUAUGCGUCGCCUCCAGGCGGUUGCGGCGGGCGCGGGCUCCUAAAGGGCGUCACACCCGGACUCCGCCGACUAGGCAACCUCCAUUCAUCUUCCCACUGCGCCUCCAGCGCCCCCGCCUUCUCCGGUCCCCUCCUCGGAGUCAUUUUUUCCUGUCCCCCCUCUGCCGCCCUUUCCUUACUCCCCGGGUGAGGCAAUUCUCUUGGAAGCGAAGGUGUCGGCUAUGAGCCGGAGCCUCCUUCCUUGAAUUUCUCCGUGGAGGACCCGCCGCGCCCCCCGGCAUGGGGGUGAACGCCGUGCACUGGUUCCGAAAGGGGCUCCGGCUCCACGACAACCCCGCCCUGAAGGAGUGCAUUCAGGGCGCCGACACCAUCCGCUGCGUCUACAUCCUGGACCCCUGGUUCGCCGGCUCCUCCAAUGUGGGCAUCAACAGGUGGCGAAUUUACAUUGACACUGAGGUUACACUCUAACUUCUUUUUCCCCAAAUGAUGAUCAUUUUCCACAAAAUGAUGGCCAGUUAUUCCAACACUACUUAUUGGAUCAUUUCCAGUUCAGUGAG
rnacentral:sRNA from 1 species